AAGAAUCAGACUGGUCAUGGUUGCACGAAAGUGCAUGAAAAGGGAAUCCGGUGAAAAUCCGGGACAGCUCACUCUACUGUAAGGGCUACGAAACGCGGCAAAGUCACUGGGAAACCGGGAAGACACGCGGAAUAGGCAUGAAGCUCUAAGUCAGGAGACCUGCCAUGAACAGAAACAAUCUG
rnacentral:ncRNA from 23 species